rnacentral:rRNA from 1 species
GACGAACGCUGGCGGCGUGCUUAACACAUGCAAGUCGAACGGUGAAGCUCCAGCUUGCUGGAGUGGAUCAGUGGCGAACGGGUGAGUAACACGUGAGCAACCUGCCCCUGACUCUGGAAUAAGCGCUGGAAACGGCGUCUAAUACUGGAUACGAGAAGGGUCCGCAUGGGCACUUUCUGGAAAGUUUUUCGGUUGGGGAUGGGCUCGCGGCCUACCAGCUUGUUGGUGAGGUAAUGGCUCACCAAGGCGACGACGGGUAGCCGGCCUGAGAGGGCGACCGGCCACACUGGGACUGAGAGACGGCGCAGACUCCUACGGGAGGCAGCAGUGGGGAGUAUUGCACAAUGGGCGAAAGCCUGAUGCAGCGACGCCGCGUGAGGGAUGACGGCCUUCGGGUUGUAAACCUCUUUCAGCAGGGAAGAAGCGAAAGUGACGGUACCUGCAGAAGAAGCACCGGCUAACUACGUG